rnacentral:rRNA from 1 species
UAAUUGAAGAGUUUGAUCAUGGCUCAGAUUGAACGCUGGCGGCAGGCCUAACACAUGCAAGUCGAGCGGUAACAGGGGAAGCUUGCUUCCCGCUGACGAGCGGCGGACGGGUGAGUAAUGUAUGGGGAUCUGCCCGAUAG